rnacentral:rRNA from 1 species
UAGGGAAUCUUCGGCAAUGGACGGAAGUCUGACCGAGCAACGCCGCGUGAGUGAAGAAGGUUUUCGGAUCGUAAAGCUCUGUUGUUAGAGAAGAACGUUGGAAGGAGUGGAAAAUCUACCAAGUGACGGUAACUAACCAGAAAGGGACGGCUAACUACGUGCCAGCAGCCGCAGUAAUACGUAGGUCCCGAGCGUUGUCCGGAUUUAUUGGGCGUAAAGCGAGCGCAGGCGGUUCUUUAAGUCUGAAGUUAAAGGCAGUGGCUUAACCAUUGUACGCUUUGGAAACUGGAGGACUUGAGUGCAGAAGGGGAGAGUGGAAUUCCAUGUGUAGUGUGGAAAUGCGUGGGUAGAUGGAGGAACACCGGUGGCGAAAGCGGCUCUCUGGUCUGUAGCUGACGCUGAGGCUCGAAAGCGUGGGGAGCAAACAGG